rnacentral:rRNA from 1 species
GAAACCGUGUACGUACAAGCAGUGGGAGCACAGGUUUACCUGUGUGACUGCGUACCUUUUGUAUAAUGGGUCAGCGACUUAUAUUCUGUAGCAAGGUUAACCGUAUAGGGGAGCCGGAGGGAAACCGAGUCUUAAUUGGGCGUUAAGUUGCAGGGUAUAGACCCGAAACCCGGUGAUCUAGCCAUGGGCAGGUUGAAGGUUGGGUAACACUAACUGGAGGACCGAACCGACUAAUGUUGAAAAAUUAGCGGAUGACCUGUGGCUGGGGGUGAAAGGCCAAUCAAACCGGGAGAUAGCUGGUUCUCCCCGAAAGCUAUUUAGGUAGCGCCUCGUGAAUUCAUCUCCGGGGGUAGAGCACUGUUUCGGCUAGGGGGCCAUCCCGGCUUACCAACCCGAUGCAAACUGCGAAUACCGGAGAAUGUUAUCACGGGAGACACACGGCGGGUGCUAACGUCCGUCGUGAAGAGGGAAACAACCCAGACCGCCAGCUAAGGUCCCAAAGUCAUGGUUAAGUGGGAAACGAUGUGGGAAGGCCCAGACAGCCAGGAUGUUGGCUUAGAAGCAGCCAUCAUUUAAAGAAAGCGUAAUAGCUCACUGGUCGAGUCGGCCUGCGCGGAAGAUGUAACGGGGCUAAACCAUGCACCGAAGCUGCGGCAGCGAACGUAUCACCCAAGACAACUUUACGGAGUUGACGAUUGACGGAGCGAAGCGACGUCAAAGCGUUCAUUAAAGUCGAGUUGGCUUAGGGAUACGUUCGUUGGGUAGGGGAGCGUUCUGUAAGCCUGUGAAGGUGUGUCGUGAGGCAUGCUGGAGGUAUCAGAAGUGCGAAUGCUGACAUAAGUAACGAUAAAGCGGGUGAAAAGCCCGCUCGCCGGAAGACCAAGGGUUCCUGUCCAACGUUAAUCGGGGCAGGGUGAGUCGACCCCUAAGGCGAGGCCGAAAGGCGUAGUCGAUGGGAAACGGGUUAAUAUUCCCGUACUUGGUGUUACUGCGAAGGGGGGACGGAGAAGGCUAUGUUGGCCGGGCGACGGUUGUCCCGGUUUAAGCGUGUAGGUGUGUGUUCCAGGUAAAUCCGGUUCACUUUAACACUGAGGCGUGACGACGAGGCACUACGGUGCUGAAGCAACAAAUGCCCUGCUUCCAGGAAAAGCCUCUAAGCAUCAGGUAACAUCAAAUCGUACCCCAAACCGACACAGGUGGUCAGGUAGAGAAUACCAAGGCGCUUGAGAGAACUCGGGUGAAGGAACUAGGCAAAAUGGUGCCGUAACUUCGGGAGAAGGCACGCUGACACGUAGGUGAAGUGAUUUACUCAUGGAGCUGAAGUCAGUCGAAGAUACCAGCUGGCUGCAACUGUUUAUUAAAAACACAGCACUGUGCAAACACGAAAGUGGACGUAUACGGUGUGACGCCUGCCCGGUGCCGGAAGGUUAAUUGAUGGGGUCAGCGCAAGCGAAGCUCCUGAUCGAAGCCCCGGUAAACGGCGGCCGUAACUAUAACGGUCCUAAGGUAGCGAAAUUCCUUGUCGGGUAAGUUCCGACCUGCACGAAUGGCGUAAUGAUGGCCAGGCUGUCUCCACCCGAGACUCAGUGAAAUUGAACUCGCUGUGAAGAUGCAGUGUACCCGCGGCAAGACGGAAAGACCCCGUGAACCUUUACUAUAGCUUGACACUGAACAUUGAGCCUUGAUGUGUAGGAUAGGUGGGAGGCUUUGAAGUGUGGACGCCAGUCUGCAUGGAGCCGACCUUGAAAUACCACCCUUUAAUGUUUGAUGUUCUAACGUGGACCCGUAAUCCGGGUUGCGGACAGUGUCUGGUGGGUAGUUUGACUGGGGCGGUCUCCUCCUAAAGAGUAACGGAGGAGCACGAAGGUUGGCUAAUCCUGGUCGGACAUCAGGAGGUUAGUGCAAUGGCAUAAGCCAGCUUGACUGCGAGCGUGACGGCGCGAGCAGGUGCGAAAGCAGGUCAUAGUGAUCCGGUGGUUCUGAAUGGAAGGGCCAUCGCUCAACGGAUAAAAGGUACUCCGGGGAUAACAGGCUGAUACCGCCCAAGAGUUCAUAUCGACGGCGGUGUUUGGCACCUCGAUGUCGGCUCAUCACAUCCUGGGGCUGAAGUAGGUCCCAAGGGUAUGGCUGUUCGCCAUUUAAAGUGGUACGCGAGCUGGGUUUAGAACGUCGUGAGACAGUUCGGUCCCUAUCUGCCGUGGGCGCUGGAGAACUGAGGGGGGCUGCUCCUAGUACGAGAGGACCGGAGUGGACGCAUCACUGGUGUUCGGGUUGUCAUGCCAAUGGCACUGCCCGGUAGCUAAAUGCGGAAGAGAUAAGUGCUGAAAGCAUCUAAGCACGAAACUUGCCCCGAGAUGAGUUCUCCCUGAGACUUAGAGUCUCCUGAAGGAACGUUGAAGACGACGACGUUGAUAGGCCGGGUGUGUAAGCGCAGCGAUGCGUUGAGCUAACCGGUACUAAUGAACCGUGAGGCUUAACCUUACAACGCCGAAG